ACGGGUGGUGGAUGCUGUUUCAGCUGUGGCAAACUCCGUUAGGGAUGUGGACGGGGUGAAAAAGAAGUGGGCAGAUUUAAAGUCGGCAGUAAAAAAAAUGAGCCGAAAGAGCAAGGGAGCAGAGAAAAACAGGAGGUGGAUUACCAUCUGUAAAUCUGGAUCCAUGGGAGGAGAAAAUAUUGUCCAUUAUCGGUGAAACAGCUGUAACUGGAAUCGAUUCCGGCGUGGAUACAAAUGAAGUGAGCGUGACUUUGGAGCUCCUCCCGAUUGACCCACCCUGCACAAUGGAUUCUAGUUUGGACAGAGAAGUUGAAGAGGGUACCCUGGAGCCUGCAGAGUUCAGUUUGUCACAGGUCAUGUUUGAUGACAACCCUCCCCUGUACCAAACUCCAAAACCAAAAAGGUUGCGCACAGAGGAGAUGGUUGAUAUCCAGAGACAACUGUUAAAGGGAAA